CCUACGGGAGGCAGCAGUGAGGAAUAUUGGUCAAUGGACGAGAGUCUGAACCAGCCAAGUAGCGUGAAGGAUGACUGCCCUAUGGGUUGUAAACUUCUUUUAUAUGGGAAUAAAAUGUUCCACGUGUGGGAUUUUGUAUGUACCAUAUGAAUAAGGAUCGGCUAACUCCGUGCCAGCAGCCGCGGUAAUACGGAGGAUCCGAGCGUUAUCCGGAUUUAUUGGGUUUAAAGGGAGCGUAGGUGGAUUGUUAAGUCAGUUGUGAAAGUUUGCGGCUCAACCGUAAAAUUGCAGUUGAAACUGGCAGUCUUGAGUACAGUAGAGGUGGGCGGAAUUCGUGGUGUAGCGGUGAAAUGCUUAGAUAUCACGAAGAACUCCGAUUGCGAAGGCAGUUCACUGGACUGCAACUGACACUGACGCUCGAAAGUGUGGGUAUCAAACAGGAUUAGAUACCCCAGUAGUC
rnacentral:rRNA from 1 species